rnacentral:rRNA from 1 species
GCUGCAGUCGAGCGAAGCUUUUCAGUAGUUUACUACAGAAAAUGACUGAGCGGCGAACGGGUGAGUAACGCGUGAGCAACCUACCUUAGUUACUGGGAUAGCCCGAGGAAACUCGGAUUAAUACCGGAUAUUCUUAUUUAAUCACAUGAUUUUUUAAGGAAAGGUCAGCCGAACUAAGAUGGGCUCGCGUUCUAUCAGCUAGUUGGUAGGGUAAUGGCCUACCAAGGCUACGACGGAUAGCUGGUCUGAGAGGACGAUCAGCCACACUGGGACUGAGACACGGCCCAGACUCCUACGGGAGGCUGCAGCAGGGAAUAUUGCGCAAUGAGCGAAAGCUUGACGCAGCGACACCGCGUGUGGGAUGACGGAUCUAGGUUUGUAAACCACUUUCAGGAGGGAAGAAAAUGACGGUACCUCCACAAGAAGCCCCGGCCAACUACGUGCCAGCAGCCGCGGUAAUACGUAGGGGGCGAGCGUUGUCCGGAUUUAUUGGGCGUAAAGAGCUCGUAGGCGGUUCAACAAGUCGGUCGUGAAAGUUCAGGGCUCAACCCUGAAAUGUCGAUCGAUACUGUUGUGACUAGGAUACGGUAGAGGUGAGUGGAAUUCCGAGUGUAGCGGUGAAAUGCGUAGAUAUUCGGAGGAACACCAAUUGCGAAGGCAGCUCACUGGGCCGCUAUCGACGCUGAGGAGCGAAAGCUAGGGGAGCAAACAGGAUUAGAUACCCUGGUAGUCCUAGCUGUAAACGAUGGAUACUAGACGUAGGAAUUGGAUU